rnacentral:lncRNA from 1 species
UCAAUUUAACCAAAUGUAUUAUUACUAUAGCAGAAUUUUAACCAAAUAUAUUAUUACCAUAGCAGAAUUUUUAACCAAAUGAAUUAAAUUCAUAGCAGAAUUUUUAACCAAAUGAAUUAAAUUCAUAGCAGAAUUUUUAACCAAAUGUAUUAAAUUCAUAGCAGAAUUUUUAUCAAAUAUUCAACUUUUAUCAAAGAGUAAACAAGACGGAUGCGGUGAGUUGAACAGAAAUUUCAGAAUUUUGUCAAAAUAUUCAACAUUUAACUACACAACAUAUUAUCUAAACAAAACCAAACCGAUGCACAAAACUGUAGCUUAUGCAGAAUCACAACUCUUAAUCAUAAAUUUAACCAAAACAGGUUCUGUUACGAAAGGCCGGAAUAUUAACGAGAAGUUAACAAGUCGAUACGGCAAAUCCCAAUGCACAACAAUGGCAAGUAUAAUGCAAACAAAACCAAAGGAUUUAAAGAUUACCAAAUUCUUGGAGGUGGUUGUUGCAAUGUUAACAACGCAGUAUACAUAUCACACAAAGUCUAUCCAUAAUAUCAACAUAUUCCAACAUAAAAUGAUUCAAAUAGAAAACAUCUCAAAAAUGUGAUGAGUUCUUGAACAAAGGAGUUACCAAAUAACAGAACCGUUGUUGUUGCAUUCUUGGCUUGCGAGCGAUGUUGCUUCUACACCGAGUUACUGCAUCCUUAGCAGACCGCAUCAACUGCUAAUACCAACCCCUUUCAACAUCCUCAAACCAUUGCGGUUCCGGCGUUGCUUCGUAUUGCUUCUUUCGCGUUCGACAGAAUAACCAUACUCCAACCUGCGCAAAAGCGGACAACAACCACACAAAGUAUCACAACAAUUUGAAAUAGCCAAACAGAUCUGAGUAGGAAGGGUGUCUUCAGUUCAUCAUUGCAUCAUUGUGCAGAAAUUGCAGCGAAGUGAGGCAAAAAACAGAGGAUUGUUGGUGUCGAAGGUGAUGCAAGCUGGAACCGACGACGAUUGUUGGGGUUGUUGGUGUCGAGUGUGGAGAUUAGAGCGGGCGGAAUCUGGAAAUGAAGAAGUGGAGGCGGGGGUUGGUGUUUCCGGCGCUUGAUUUAACGGUGAGCGGCGGAGGAGGACAGAAGAUUGGGUUUUGGACGGUUAUUUGAAGGGUAACGGCGGGUUUAUGGUGGUUUACGGUUGCGGAUGAUGGCGAUUUAUGAUGAAUCGCGGCGGAGAGGGUUUGAUGGUUGUUUGAUGGUGGAGACGGAGAGAGAUUUGGUGGUGGAAGUGAAACGGAAGGGGUUCCGCUGAUGGUUACGGCGGUGAUGAUGAAGAAGAUGAGGGUGUGCGGGUUUGAGCGGCGGAGGGUUUUUUGGAUGGGUCGGAAAUGGUUGAAGCAGUUUUUGGAAUUUUUCUUUCUUCCCUAUUUUUUUCCAAUUGCAGAGAGAGAGUGUUAUGAAUGUGUGUACAGUGGAGCGG